AUCUCACACUGCAGUACAGUAGGUGGCGGUGUAUUUGCACCUCACGUUUGCUAUCCACCAAUACAAAUUUAAAGAAGGAGAAAAAAAAAUGGCGGACAGCCACUAGCUCAAUCCACAUAAAAAUAAUACACAAACAUUUCAAAACAAGGUAAACAGACUCGAAUAUAUUGUUUACACGCUGUCCUCUUUUUACCAAAUUCAUUUUUUAGCCGGGAAUUUAUCUAGCACUUAUUGAUGUAUUUAUAAUCAAGCCAACUAUAGAUAGAUGGCUAACAUAAAGUCUACCCGUUUAGCAUGCUGUGUUGACGGAGCUAGCUAGCUAGCAGUUGUUCGAGCAUGCCCAUGUUAUUAGGUUGGAGGGAAAAGGAGGGAGCUGGUCGAUAUCUGCAUGACGCAAGGAAAAAGGCGCACUUCUAUUGAGAGAACCAACUGAAGACUUAUGAUCUUUUAAGGUUUUUUUAUUGCAUAUUAUGAGUUUUGUUUUUGUGUCUCCUCCAUUGCUAUAGUCUAGUAUUGCGUAUUUUAAACCGCUAUAGCCUAGUAUUGCAUCUUUGAAACCGUUAUUUAUGACCACUUGUCAGCCCAAUGUAAAUUUAGCUAAUGGUAGCCAUGCAAAUUUAUAGUAACUGAGUUUAAGGCUAGGUUAAUUUAGAAGUCUAUUUGAUUGCCAGCUGAAAUGAUGUAGCUACCUAGUUUGCUAGCUUGAAACAGUUACUGAUGCACUGCUGCUGGUGUGUAUGAAUAAUCUAAACCAGUUAGGAUUUUUUUUAAACAGUAGGGCUGCAAGGUUAAAUUGUUAUUGAUAUAUCUUUAAAUGGUUGGUGUGAUUAGUGUGGCUACUUUGUAAAUAUGUAUUAAUUAGGCAAUUUGCCUUUAUCUGCUAUUCAUUUCAAUGUCCUGGCUGCAUGCAUUUUUAUAAACAAUGGAUUUGUGAGUAGCUGUUGACUGCUGUGUCUUGAUGCUAAACAAAUCUAGUCUACUUUGAGGACCAAUAUAAUAUCAGCCACGUGUUUGUCUGACUUAAUCACCUGUGUGUCUAGCCAAUUGGUAAUUAACCUAGGCUCAGGGUUAAGGGCCAAAGCCCCUCAAGUCAAGGAUAGCCAGCCAGACAUCCCCAGCCUGGUCAUCAUUGUAAAUAGGAAUUUGUUCUUAACUGACUUGCCUUGUUAAAUAAAGGUUCAAUUAAAUUCAUUCACAGAUCAUUUUUAAGAUCCAAAAUAGAUGGUAACCUCUUGAAAUUAAUACCUUAUAUUGGCUAUAAUGUUACCCAUUCUUGUUUCUCCAGUCUGGAUCCUCUUGUUUUGUCAAUACCCCAACAGGGAUGAGUUUUCUGUUUCUACAGUGAGCCCUGAGUGUGUUUGGGUGGGUGACUGAGGUCUGCUGACAGCUGGGGCCACCUCUUUGUUGUACCCUGUCGUCUGCCUCCAACGCCGACCCCCUGCCUGGCCGACAGAAGGGGAGAGUGUUAAGAGCGAAUCCGUGGGAAAGUCAACCUGAGCAUCCACAGAUAAAAGAGAGGACUAUUGUGUCUUGAACUUAGUCAGUAUUACUGGACAUGAGGAAGCCAGUGCCACAAAAAGCUAUUGAGUGGAAAGAUGGCAGGCAGAUCAAGCAUGCCCGAAGUGGCCGUCCCUCCCGGGUCCCAUCGCAGUACCAAGGAGGUCACUUCAGUUGGGACAAAUACCUGAAGGAAACAGGUGCUACUGCUGCACCUGCGCACUGCUUCAGACAGGUAA